AAUGUGGAGCCGUAGCGAAAGCGAGUCUGAAUAGGGCGUUUAGUAUUUGGUCGUAGACCCGAAACCAGGUGAUCUACCCUUGGUCAGGUUGAAGUUCAGGUAACACUGAAUGGAGGACCGAACCGACUUACGUUGAAAAGUGAGCGGAUGAACUGAGGGGAGCGGAGAAAUUCCAAUCGAACCUGGAGAUAGCUGGUUCUCUCCGAAAUAGCUUUAGGGCUAGCCUCAA
rnacentral:rRNA from 1 species